rnacentral:rRNA from 1 species
GAUGAACGCUGGCGGCGUGCCUAAUACAUGCGAGUCGAGCGAACAGACGAGGAGCUUGCUCCUCUGACGUUAGCGGCGGACGGGUGAGUAACACGUGGAUAACCUACCUAUAAGACUGGGAUAACUUCGGGAAACCGGAGCUAAUACCGGAUAAUAUAUUGAACCGCAUGGUUCAAUAGUGAAAGACGGUUUUGCUGUCACUUAUAGAUGGAUCCGCGCCGCAUUAGCUAGUUGGUAAGGUAACGGCUUACCAAGGCAACGAUGCGUAGCCGACCUGAGAGGGUGAUCGGCCACACUGGAACUGAGACACGGUCCAGACUCCUACGGGAGGCAGCAGUAGGGAAUCUUCCGCAAUGGGCGAAAGCCUGACGGAGCAACGCCGCGUGAGUGAUGAAGGUCUUCGGAUCGUAAAACUCUGUUAUUAGGGAAGAACAAAUAUGUAAGUAACUAUGCACGUCUUGACGGUACCUAAUCAGAAAGCCACGGCUAACUACGUG